UACGUAGGGUGCAAGCGUUGUCCGGAAUUAUUGGGCGUAAAGAGCUCGUAGGCGGCUUGUCGCGUCGGAUGUGAAAGCCCGGGGCUUAACUCCGGGUCUGCAUUCGAUACGGGCAGGCUAGAGUUCGGUAGGGGAGAUCGGAAUUCCUGGUGUAGCGGUGAAAUGCGCAGAUAUCAGGAGGAACACCGGUGGCGAAGGCGGAUCUCUGGGCCGAUACUGACGCUGAGGAGCGAAAGCGUGGGGAGCGAACAAG
rnacentral:rRNA from 1 species